rnacentral:lncRNA from 1 species
AUUUACCCUAACGGUUAAAAUAUAAUCAAAUAAUAUAGCGUUCGGUAAAACUAUUUUCGCGACAACUUAAAUAUCUAGACUACAUAUGUACACUAACCACUACGAAAUUCUCGGGUUUCACAUAAGAUCGAAUUGGCGAUGCUACUCGCUUCUAAAUUCUUAUGUAGCCAGUAACAUUUAAUCACGGCAUUUAAUUGACCACUAAUCACAUAAUAUAAUGAAACACACUGAAUAUAAUUAACAUCGAUAGACUUAUUGAUAAUUUCUUAAAACACUAAAUUUAACUUACGCACCACCGAUGUACCACUCACUGCAAACUUAGAACCAGUUUAAACAUGCUCGACAAAUAUACCCACGGAAACUCUAUUCCCAUAACCUAUAUCUCAAACUGGCGAUUUACCACACGACAUUCAAUAAAUUACUGCAAGCGAUUCGGGUAUUCCAAUAAAUAUUAGACCUACAAUCACAACGCACAUAUUUUAAUACCCAAGGAAAUAGAAAUUACCAUACCAAAUAUCACGACAGCAUGGCGACGAGAUGAGUGAGAUGUCACGACGUGUGGAGUGUGCUUAGGUCGACGUCGAGAGCACCACACGACAACACAACAGGACGACGGCUUGCCGAAACUCCAGAAAGCAAGGAUGAGGAACAGCGAGGCGAGGCAAAACUCAGACAGCGCAGCGAGAUGAGCAGUAAGUCGACAGUGAGGCAGGUAGCUGAAGUCGACGACGUGGUGACGAACAGGGACGGAACACAACUGGCGCUAGGGCGGGACUGCAGAACGGAGGUCGAGCACAAACAGCGGCAUGUGGGAGACGGAGGUCUGGUGCUGGGCGACGUCUAGAUUGAAGACGACGUGAGGCUAGGCAAGGAUAGGGAGCCGAGGUUGAAAGCAAUGAUUGGAACCUUCAUCAAUGGCGCUGGUAGGAACUGGUCAGGAACGAGCGGCAGCUGACGGGACGACUUGUACCAGAGACGCGGGCUGAGGGCUGGCGAGCAUUGGCACGGUUGGAGAAGGAGCAGGGCUUAGAGGCGCUUGUGCCAGAGAGCUUGGCUGCCGGCGAGCUGAUGCAGGACGCUAGGAACUCGAGCAUAGGGAGCAGCUCGGCUACCGGCAAAGACCAAGCGCAGACGAGCUGAACAUCUCCAGGGAGCCGUGACUUCAGGAACAGAGAAGAAAUGGCAUAAGAAAACAAAUGAGCUGUGCUCAGAUAACGCCUAGGAGAUGAAAGACGUGGCUGGUAGAAAAUC